GAACGCCGUGUGAUGGGAAACUAUCACGCACGGUGUGGAGCGGGGGAAAAGCCCGAGGUGAUAACACCAGAGGCUUACCUAUCGCUAU
rfam:Butyrivibrio fibrisolvens 16/4 draft genome.